GACAGAGGGGGCAAGCGUUGCUCGGAAUCACUGGGCGUAAAAGGGCGCGUAGGCGGGAUGGCAAGUCGGUCGUGAAAUCCCUCGGCUCAACCGAGGAACGUCGAUCGAUACUGCUGUUCUUGAGGAUUGCAGAGGAGACUGGAAUUCCCGGUGUAGCGGUGAAAUGUGUAGAGAUCGGGGAGGAACACCGGUGGCGAAGGCGGGUCUC
rnacentral:rRNA from 1 species